rnacentral:lncRNA from 1 species
CUCAUUCGUCCACGUCCUCUAUUCUAUACAUCUCUCGCACUCUUUGUUUUUGCCGCAACACCCACACACCCACACAGACAAGAGAAGAGAAAAGGUAUCCAUACUAUGGCAUCAGCUACUGCUUCCCACACUUUGUGCGGCAUCCCCACCACCUCUUCCUCCUCUUCCUCUACCACCAACAGGGUUUCCCCCCAUUCUGCUCGCUUCCUUCUCAAAACUCCUCUCCGCCGCCUCGGAUUCGCCGGAGCUGUUGCUGAUUCUCUCUUCACCAGCCACGUUGCUACCAGGCUCCGAUCUUUCAGCGGCUCCUCCUCCAAGCCUGUUAG